rnacentral:rRNA from 1 species
UACGUAGGGUGCAAGCGUUGUCCGGAAUUAUUGGGCGUAAAGAGCUCGUAGGCGGUCUGUCGCGUCUGCUGUGAAAACCUAGGGCUUAACUCUGGGCGUGCAGUGGGUACGGGCAGGCUAGAGUGCGGUAGGGGAGACUGGAAUUCCUGGUGUAGCGGUGAAAUGCGCAGAUAUCAGGAGGAACACCGGUGGCGAAGGCGGUCUCUGGGCAUGAUCCUGACGCUGAGGAGCGAAAGUG